rnacentral:tRNA from 1 species
ACCCCCGUGGCCCAACUGGAUAAAGGUACCGGUCUACGAAACCGGGGAUGCAGGUUCAAGUCCUGCCGGGGGUAC